GCCAGCGGCGAUAGCAGGUUGAAUGCAACAGUUCCCAAUGGAUCACUGAAGCAACGUUGCACGUGGUUGGUAUCCGGCUAUCCGGAUGGGUGACCAUGUGGACAAUAGCGUGCUGCUAGCU
rnacentral:rRNA from 1 species